CCGACAAGAACCUCAACCCCCAGCACAUGCACUGACACUCUUUCACUCUCUUCAACUGACCAUGAAGAGCCCGAGAGCGCAGUGGAAAAUCAAACAGCAAUGGUCAGCAACAGUUUUAACAUAGACGCUGAAAAGGCAAAACAGAUGCACUGGAAAAAAAAUCUGGUGGUGAGGAAGUGCUUGAAGAAUACCAGACAACAAAAACUUUAUAGCACAGCACCAGACGUCAGCUUGUUAAUAUUGUUGUCAGUCACAUGACAGAAAUUCAUGGGAGGAUCCCCGCCCACAAACAGCGGGAAACUUAUGCUUUGGGCAUUAUUUCUCUCUUUCCUAGCCUGAAAGACCCAUUUUCAGCAAAGGGCUAUGAGCAUUUCUACGAUCCGGAAAAGGGAACGGGGUUCAUCUCCUGGCGCCUUAAAACUUUGUCGAGGAAAAAUCCAAAACGUGUUCGCUUAGAGAUGACUGAAAGUGGAGGACCAAGUUGACGAAGGAGGAUGGAUGAUGUGCAACAACUUGAAGGAGAUGCAUGCAGAGAGGCAAUUUCUUUCCUUGUCCAUCCAGCUGAUGAAACUGAAGUAAUGCAGAAGAUGAAGGAAACGUUUAAGCAUAGACAAGAACUGGUCCAUAAUCCUGACCGAUCAGCUGACGUCCUUGAUGUUUUCCCAAGAUAUUUGGUUGUAAAAGGAUUGAUAAAUCAGGACUUUGCUCUGCUGUUCAAUGCUGAAACAUCCAACAAGUUUCUUAAGAGGUGGGAGACUGCAUUCAAGCAAAAGAUCAUCAAUGAAGCCAAGUCUCUUACUUCAACAGCAGAAAUUCGGUGUCUUCUCAAUGCAGCUGGUGGACAAGGAUCUGAAAAUGAUUGGGACAGUGACAUGUCAUCUGUCCUGCUGCUGUUGCAUCUUCUGCCUCCUCCUCCAGGGAGGAAGAAGACUAAGAUCAGUCCAACAGAGGCAAUUGACAGACUUGUGCAUUUUCAUAAGUCCUGCACCAGUAUUGAAGGCCAUCUCAGUGGGAGGGAGGGCCACCAGCCAUUUCUACUGGGAUCAGGAAGGAUCAAGGGCAGGAUCGACCACUUUUACGUUGUUGUGGACAAGCGUCUUAUCCCUUGCUCUGGAACCAGCUCCUUAAGUGCCUUUGAUGAACUUUUCAAAGUUCACUAUGUCUUCAACUUGUCCGACGAGGAAGCCCUGGUCAACUUCUUUACCUUCCUGCAGACCACAGUUUACAACAUAGACGUUGGUCUUUCAAGUGAGUCUCCCAGAGUAAGGGAACUGCGUGCAAAGCUUUUAAAUUAGUUUAAAUGUUAAAGUGUUUAAUCUGUAAAAGUUUGCAUGGAAACAGCCACUCUUUGAUAGCUCAUUUAAGAGUCACACACAGUUUCUAUCCUUCGUUAAAGUUUAAGUUGUUGUGUGCGCAAGAUGGCUGUAGUCGGCAGUUUUGCUCCUAUUCUGGGUUUCGAAAGCAUUUGAUCCGUUUUCAUGCUGUUGAUGGCAAUCCCGCUUUUGAUUUGUCUUCAGGUGAACAGUCAUCUCAAAAUGUUUAUAAUAAUCAGCCAGGUUCUUUGUUUGUUGGAGAAAGUGAUCCCCAAGUUGCUCUCAUUGAGAAUGUUACCUUUUCCAGGAGAGAGACUGUAGAUAUGUGCUUCAAUUGUAGCCAAAUUACAGUGCAGUGGAGUAGCCAAUAGCUUGGUAUCAUCAGUUGUUUCAGACCUUGAGGACCUCACUACAGAAAUGCAUACCCAAACUCGUCAAGAUGUGAUUUCUGUCAUUCCUCCUAAUAACCCUGUCAGAUCAGCUG